UAGCUCAGUUGGUUAGAGCGUCGUGCUAAUAACGCGAAUGUCGCAGGUUCGAUUCCUGC
rnacentral:ncRNA from 14 species